UACGUAGGGUGCGAGCGUUAAUCGGAAUUACUGGGCGUAAAGCGUGCGCAGGCGGUUUUGUAAGCCAGAUGUGAAAUCCCCGGGCUUAACCUGGGAACUGCAUUUGGGACUGCAAGGCUUGAGUACGGCAGAGGGGGUAGAAUUCCUGGUGUAGCAGUGAAAUGCGUAGAUAUCAGGAGGAAUACCGAUGGCGAAGGCAGCCCCCUGGGUCGAUACUGACGCUCAUGCACGAAAGCGUGGGGAGCAAACAGG
rnacentral:rRNA from 1 species